rnacentral:rRNA from 1 species
ACGUUGGCGGCGUGGAUUAGGCAUGCAAGUCGUACGGGCCGCAAGGCCAGUGGCGCAAGGGUGAGUAAGGCGACGGUAACCAACCCCAUGAUUGGGUAUAGCCGCGGGAAACCGCGGGUAAUCCCCAGCGACGCACGGCCUCGGCAUCGAGGCCUUGCCAAAGCUCCGGCGUCGUGGGACGGGCCGUCGUGGUAUUAGGUAGUUGGCGGGGUAACGGCCCACCAAGCCUGCGAUGCCUACCGGGCGCGCGAGCGUGGCCCGGCACACUGGGACUGAGACACUGCCCAGACUCCUACGGGAGGCUGCAGUCGAGAAUCUUCGGCAAUGGGCGCAAGCCUGACCGAGCGACGCCGCGUUGAGGAUGAAGGCCUUCGGGUUGUAAACUCCUGUCGAGGGGGAAGAAGGGUCGAAAGACCUUGACUGAUCCCUGGAGGAAGCACGGGCUAAGUUCGUGCCAGCAGCCGCGGUAAGACGAACCGUGCGAACGUUAUUCGGAAUCACUGGGCUUAAAGCGCGCGUAGGCGGGACGGCACGUCGGUCGCUGAAAUCCCCCGGCUUAACCGGGGAACUGGCGUCGAUACGACCGUCCUGGAGGGGCGUAGGGGGACCUGGAACUUCCGGUGGAGCGG